UGCAGGGACAGCCCCUUCCAGAAGGACAAGGACCUGGUGUGGGAUCGGCUCCUCUCCUGGCAGCAGCUCUCCAGAGGCUGCCAGCACCUCAUGCCAUGGGAACGGCACCACUCGGCCUGCCAGGCUUGGGGGGCUGGAGGGCAGCAAGUGUUCAUUUGCUGUCAAAAAUAAAUUGGUUUGGUUUUUUUUU